CGUGUGCCUAUGAUGGUGUUAAAUAUACUUCGAGAUUAAUUUCUAUGAAACAAUUUUACUCUGAGGCACCGA
rfam:Medicago truncatula strain A17 chromosome 4, whole genome shotgun sequence.